AAACUCACGUAACUCAAAGUAACAACAAAACGUAUUCGUCGAACUUAUUUUUUAUCUGUGGAACUAAAAUGGUUCAUGUUUGUUUGUUUACAAAAAACGAUUAUUGUUGUUGAUUUUAAGUAUUUAAAUAUUGGUGAUUACUGCGUGCGGCAAGGAAAAACGUACGAAGUCCCAUCCAAUAAACAGAGAAGAUAGUAUCCCGAUCCAUUGGGAAAAGAAGGCCACGAUAAAGAAGAAUAGGUCCGUAUUCAAACGCUGCUGAAAAAAUAUGGAAAAGAACGAGUUCUUGGCAUACAAUGUUGACACGAGAAUCAUUCUUUUAAUUACAAAAAAAGGAUGCUAAAUGACAACUGGGUCGUCAGUUUACAAAUUAUAAAUUAUUGAAAUGAUAUCAUUUAAUAAAGAAUGUGAAUAUUAAAAUCAUAA
rnacentral:lncRNA from 1 species